AAAAAACCAAAUGGUUCCCAUGGAAUACCAUGGACGUGAGGGGAGCUAAUACCUUCCUCUCGCAUAACCGACUCCCGAACCCUAAUCUCGGUUACGAGACCGAUACCCUAUCCUUUCCUUCGCGCUUCCCAUGUGCUUAUAUUUUUUAGGGUUUUAUCGACUAUUUCCCCUCGCCUCUUCGAUUGAGGCAUACAAAAUAAAAUUCGGUGGCGACUCUUCUGACCCUCUUGUUCAGUCAGUCCG
rnacentral:lncRNA from 1 species